AAAAUUGUCCCAAGCACGUCAUCCCCAACCUCUCGGCCUUAUCCUCCCACGGCGCCGCGACGCCUGCCGGACCUUGCACGGCGCCGCCCCCAUCUCGCCCGACCUUCCACCGUGCCGCCCACCCGGCCUCCCACCGUGCCGCGCCGCCCCGCCCCACCAGGCCUCCCACCAUGCCGCCCCGCACCGCCCGGCCUCCCAUCGCGCGGCGUCGCCCCGCUCGGCCUUCCUCUGUGCCGCCCGGCCUCCUACCGCGUAGCGCCGCCCCGCCCGAUCUCCCACUGCAACGCACCCUAACGCUACAGGUCUCACCCUCCCUCGGCUGCAGGUCGCGGCCUCCCGCGGAUGCAGGUCGCGGAUUCGACCUCGUCGCUGCACAUAGGGACCGUGGCCUCCCCCGCGUGUGGUCGCCUCCGUCCUGCUUCAAGCCCGUUUCCAGUCGUCCAUAGACUGAUUGAACUGACGGGCUUGAUCCCCUUCGACAAUAGAAGCUUCACCAAUGUUGCCCUUCAACAACGCAGCGAUCCGAGGGGAGAGGACAAAACUAAAUGAUUCAGUUCAUCAUUGGUAUCCUUGUGAACAGUUCUGAAGAUAGCUUUCAGAGACUAAUUACAGUGAUAUUUCUCUCAAACUUUUUCUACAAAUAGCCUGGGACUUCCACUGAUUGUGCCACUGCUUCAGCGUCCACCAUCAGUGGCACUGGCCGCCCUCUGAGCCAAAUCUUGGCGCUCCCAGCCGCUGCUCAUGAACCCCGCCUCCAUCAGCUCCACUUCACCGGAGCCGCCAGUCCGCAUGAGUAGGGGUAGCGUAUCCCCCUACAGCAGCGUAAUUCAGGUGCACCCAGCCGCUGCUCUUGAACCCCGCCUCCAUCAGCUCCACUUCACUGGAGCCGUCAGUCCGCAGGUGUAGGGGUAGCAGGUUCACCCGACGUCCGACGCCUUCUUCCAUCUCCAAAAAUCUUGUUUUUUGAGUUCAGUUCUUCAUCACAUGUUUCACUAGCUAAAAUUGCAUGGUGUUCUGAAAUUGCUUGCAGACCACUAGCUGAAAUUGCUUGACAAACAGAGCAAAGGUUGUAUCUUCGUCUACUGUUUUUCAGAUAUUCGUCAUAUGCAUGAGCACGGCUAUAUUUGCUUGUUAUGAUCUAGUAGGCACCAUUAACAUUUGAUAUUCCUUCUGCAAGGCCCAAACCCACUAUUGUGCAAGAAAAAGAAAUCAAAGCCCCAACCAUCAGCUGCUCGAAUCAUCUGCUUCUCCUGCUCCUCCUCCUCCUGGUAUACACGAACUCCAGUUCGUCGAGAGGCUCCCUGGAGCAAUGGCAUGCUCCAAGCCCGCCGAGACUGAAUCAUUCGACAUCAAUUCUCUGCACAGCGUGGCUCGACGUGCAACCUUCCGGCUCCUUCGUGUACGUCCAGACAAGAUGCUAUGGUGUACAAUUUAAUGCAUGAAGACCCGACCCAACAAGUGUUGCCAUGGCACGGCGCCUACUGGCAAAGGACCACCACCUCCCCGACGACGUGCCCAAACCCGCCGACGAGGCCCGCUGCCCCAACCCUCCUCCUUCCUCCUCGCAUCGGGAUGAGCAAGAUCCAGCUGGCGCCUAAAGCCCAUUCCACCAUUGUACCUCCCCCUUCCCCUCGCUGCACUGACCGGUGUGACACAGCGCCGCCGCCAAGGAAAAAUCAUUUUCAGGUUAUUGGUGCCGCUGGAUAACUGUCAUAGUUUGUCGCCAGCAAAGUCCUCGAACUUGGCCUACACCAGUAGUAGAACUUACUGGUUCUCCGUGACCUAAAGUUGAAAACAGACAAAAAUUCUCAAGAAUUGAGGCUUCGCCAAGGAACAAGACUGGUAACUAGCGCAAAGGAGACUAUGUCGAGAGGUGGCACUGCUAGACUUGCUGAUGUGUCGUUAUGGCAUAAAAAGAUGAAAAAAAUGGCAUCUUGUAUGAUUCCAUAAGGUGUACGUAGUAAAUCUUCCCAUGUGGAUCAGUACAACUUAUGUACGGCCUUGAGUUCACAAAUCUUAUAGUAAUCUUUGUAGUACUUUUCGUCACACUAAGUAAAGCAAGAGUAGCCCUUUUUUGUGAGCAACAAUUCAAACGAA